rnacentral:misc_RNA from 1 species
AGAUAUUAACCAAGGAACACUGGUCAUUUUCAACUUGGAUCCUUCAGUAUCCAAUGAGGAUCUCCUCCAAAUAUUUGGGGAUUAUGGUGAAGUGAAGGAGAUAAGGGAGACACCGCAUAAGCGCCAUCAUAAAUUCAUAGAGUUUUACGAUGUUAGAGCAGCUGAGGCGGCCCUCAAGGCUUUAAAUAGGAGUGACAUAGCUGGUAAGCGGAUCAAGCUUGAACCCAGCCGACCCGGUGGAGCCCGUCGAAGCUUGAUGCAGCAACUUAGUCAAGACUAUGAACAUGAAGAAGUUCGAACAUUUAGGCACUCGGUUGGUUCUCCAAUCGCCUCUCCUCCAGGCAACUGGUCAAACUUUGGCAGUCCUGUUGAGCACAGCUCAUUGCUAGGUUAUAAUCAAUCACGUGAUAUGAGAAAUCUCAGCCCUGUAAAUG